ensembl:snoRNA SNORD116 Small nucleolar RNA SNORD116
GGAUCGACGAUGAGUCCCACAAAUGCAUUCCUUGGAUAUCUGAAAAAAAUGAAUUCGAAAUUCCUACCGUCUCCUCAUUGGAACUGAGGUCC